AUUGAACGCUGGCGGCAGGCCUAACACAUGCAAGUCGAACGAGUAGCGGACGGGUGAGUAAUGUCUGAAAACCUGCCUGAUGGACGGGGAUACCUACUGAAAAAGGUAGCUACUACUGCUAAACAUCGUAUUGGCCCAGACGGGAUUAUCUAGUCGGGUGGGUAAAGGUUCAUCUAGGAGACGAUCCCUAGCUGGUCUGAGAUGAUGACCGGCCACACUGUAACUGAGAAACGGUCCAGACUCCUACGGUAGGCAGCAGUGGGGAAUAUGGGACAAUGGGCGCAAGCCUGAGGCAGCCAGGCCGCGUGUAUGAAGAAGGCUUUCGGGUUGUAAAGGACUUUCAGCGGGGAGGCGUUACCUGCAGAAGAAGCACCGGCUAACUACGUGCCAGCAGCCGCGGUAAUAC
rnacentral:rRNA from 1 species